UUUGGCCUCCAAUCAAGCAAGGCUACCCGCUGAACUUAAGCAUAUCAAUAAGCGGAGGAAAAGAAACCAACAGGGAUUGCCUUAGUAGCGGCGAGCGAACAGGCAAGAGCUCAGAUUUGAAAGCCCUCGGGCAUUGUAUUCUGAAGCCUUGGUCCUGAGAAUCGGUGUUUAAGUCUUCUGGAAAGGAGCGCCAUGGAGGGUGAUAGCCCCGUACGACACCACUCUCAUUGUAGGACUUUGGCAUGGAGUCGAGUUGUUUGGGAAUGCAGCUCAAAUGGGUGGUAUGCUCCAUCUAAAGCUAAAUAUCUGCGAGAGACCGAUAGCGAACAAGUACUGUGAAGGAAAGAUGAAAAGAACUUUGAAAAGAGAGUGAAAAAGUACGUGAAAUUGUUGAAAUGGAAGGAUAGGCCGCUAACCAUGUAGGGUCGUGUUUGAGGGGAAGAUAAAAGCUGAAGAAUGUAGCUCCUCGGAGUGUUAUAGCUUCAGUCCAUAUUCCCUCUCGAGCGCGAGGAUUGAAGACUCUGC
rnacentral:rRNA from 1 species